rfam:Echinococcus multilocularis genomic scaffold, pathogen_EmW_scaffold_03
GCUGGGCGUGGUGGCGCGCGCCUGUAAUCCAGCGGCUUGGAGGCCGGGUGGCGGAAGCCGUCGUCGCCGGGAGUUCCAGACUGCGUCUGCGCAUGUGGAUCGGGCGUCCGCGCCAAGCACGGCGUCGAUAUGGAGAUCAUGCCGGAGGGCCGUGGUCUCCAGGUCGUCUAAGGAGGGGCGCACCGGGCCAGGGGGGAAACCCAGCAGCCAAAAGCUCCCACGUGGUGCAGUGGCGGGAUAGCGCCUGUGAAUGGUGGGUGUAGGAUGGCCUGGAGGACGAGCGGCGACUUCCACCUUU